CAGAGAACAUCGCCCUCACGGGUGACUCUCCAACCCAAUGUUAUUCUACCUUUGUUGCUUUGGCGAGCCGCCUCCGCCACCGGCUCGCGCUGGUGAGUGCUCGCCAGAGGACCCAAAACUCUGAAUUACAGUAUUGUCUGAGUACUAUAUAAUAGUUA
rnacentral:misc_RNA from 1 species